rnacentral:rRNA from 1 species
GGAUGCGAUCAUACCAGCACUAAAGCACCGGAUCCCAUCAGAACUCCGAAGUUAAGAGUGCUUGGGCGAGAGUAGUACUAGGAUGGGUGACCUCCUGGGAAGUCCUCGUGUUGCAUCCC